AAAGUCGUAACAAGGUUUCCGUAGGUGAACCUGCGGAAGGAUCAUUAUUGAAUAAAUCUGACUUGGGUUGUAGCUGGCUCUCUGGAGCAUGUGCACGCUCUUGUCACCUUUAUCUUUCCACCUGUGCACACACUGUAGUCCUGGAUACCUCUCGCCUGCAAAGGCGGAUGCGGAGAUUGCUGCUGCCCUUUCUUUGGGCUCGGCUUCCUCUGAAUUUCCAGGUCUAUGAAUUUUUCUACACACCCCAAACGAAUGUUAUAGAAUGGUAUUCAUUGGGCCUCUGUGCCUAUAAAAAUCAAUACAACUUUCAACAACGGAUCUCUUGGCUCUC
rnacentral:misc_RNA from 1 species